CCUGCAGUCGACGGUGAAGAGGAGCUUGCUCCUUGGAUCAGUGGCGAACGGGUGAGUAACACGUGAGCAAUCUGCCCUUGACUCUGGGAUAACUGCGGGAAACUGUAGCUAAUACCGGAUAUUACCUUGGAAGGCAUCUUCUGGGGUGGAAAGAAUUUUGGUCAAGGAUGAGCUCGCGGCCUAUCAGCUAGUUGGUGAGGUAAUGGCUCACCAAGGCGACGACGGGUAGCCGGCCUGAGAGGGUGACCGGCCACACUGGGACUGAGACACGGCCCAGACUCCUACGGGAGGCAGCAGUGGGGAAUAUUGCACAAUGGGCGCAAGCCUGAUGCAGCAACGCCGCGUGAGGGACGACGGCCUUCGGGUUGUAAACCUCUUUUAGUAGGGAAGAAGCGACUGGGUUUUCCUGGGAGUGACGGUACCUGCAGAAAAAGCACCGGCUAACUACGUGCCAGCAGCCGCGGUAAUACGUAGGGUGCAAGCGUUGUCCGGAAUUAUUGGGCGUAAAGAGCUCGUAGGCGGUUUGUCGCGUCUGCUGUGAAAACCCGAGGCUCAACCUCGGGCCUGCAGUGGGUACGGGCAGACUAGAGUGCGGUAGGGGAGAUUGGAAUUCCUGGUGUAGCGGUGGAAUGCGCAGAUAUCAGGAGGAACACCAAUGGCGAAGGCAGAUCUCUGGGCCGUAACUGACGCUGAGGAGCGAAAGCAUGGGGAGCG
rnacentral:rRNA from 1 species